rnacentral:tRNA from 1 species
AACUAAGUAGCUCAAAUAAGAGCAAUGCAAUGAAGAUGCAUAAGUGCUAAUCUUAGCCGUAGUUA